rnacentral:rRNA from 1 species
AGUCAAGUAAUUAAGUGCAUGUGGUGGAUGCCUUGGCAGUCAGAGGCGAUGAAAGACGUGAUAGCCUGCGAAAAGCUCCGGGGAGGCGGCAAAUAUCCUUUGAUCCGGAGAUGUCUGAAUGGGGGAACCCACCUACUUUAAGGUAGGUAUUGCAACAUGAAUACAUAGUGUUGCAAGGCGAACGAGGGGAAGUGAAACAUCUCAGUACCCUUAGGAAAAGAAAUCAAUUGAGAUUCCCUCAGUAGCGGCGAGCGAACGGGGAUCAGCCCAUUAAGUUAUGUGUGUUUUAGUGGAACGCUCUGGGAAGUGCGAACGUAGAGGGUGAUAUUCCCGUACACGAAAGGGCACACAUAAUGAUGACGAGUAGGGCGAGGCACGUGAAACCUUGUCUGAAUAUGGGGGGACCAUCCUCCAAGGCUAAAUACUCCUGACUGACCGAUAGUGAACCAGUACCGUGAGGGAAAGGCGAAAAGAACCCCUGUGAGGGGAGUGAAAUAGAUCCUGAAACCGCAUGCAUACAAGCAGUGGGAGCACCUUCGUGGUGUGACUGCGUACCUUUUGUAUAAUGGGUCAGCGACUUAUAUUCAGUAGCGAGGUUAACCGUAUAGGGGAGCCGUAGAGAAAUCGAGUCUUAAUAGGGCGUUUAGUUGCUGGGUAUAGACCCGAAACCAGGCGAUCUAUCCAUGAGCAGGUUGAAGGUUGGGUAACACUAACUGGAGGACCGAACCCACUGUCGUUGAAAAGCCAGGGGAUGACUUGUGGAUAGGGGUGAAAGGCUAAUCAAGCCUGGUGAUAGCUGGUUCUCCCCGAAAGCUAUUUAGGUAGCGCCUCGGACGAAUACCAUAGGGGGUAGAGCACUGUUUCGGCUAGGGGGUCAUCCCGACUUACCAAACCGAUGCAAACUCCGAAUACCUAUGAGUACUAUCCGGGAGACAGACUGCGGGUGCUAACGUCCGUAGUCAAGAGGAAAACAAUCCAGACCGCCAGCUAAGGCCCCAAAAUCAUAGUUAAGUGGGAAACGAUGUGGGAAGGCAUAGACAGCUAGGAGGUUGGCUUAGAAGCAGCCACCCUUUAAAGAAAGCGUAAUAGCUCACUAGUCGAGUCGGCCUGCGCGGAAGAUGUAACGGGGCUAAAACUAUGUGCCGAAGCUGCGGAUGUAUACUUUGUAUAGUAGGGGAGCGUUCUGUAAGCCGAUGAAGGUGUGUUGAGAAGCAUGCUGGAGGUAUCAGAAGUGCGAAUGCUGACGUGAGUAACGACAAAACGGGUGAAAAACCCGUUCGCCGAAAGACCAAGGGUUCCAGUCCAACGUUAAUCGGGGCUGGGUGAGUCGACCCCUAAGGCGAGGCCGAAAGGCGUAGUCGAUGGGAAAAUGGUUAAUAUUCCAUUACUUCUGUGUAAUGCGAUGAGAGGACGGAGAAGGCUAAAUCAGCCUGGCGUUGGUUGUCCAGGUGAAAGGAUGUAGGCAUGUAUCUUAGGCAAAUCCGGGGUACUCUAUGCUGAGAUCUGAUAGCAAGCUGUACUUGUACAGCGAAGUGGUUGAUGCCAUGCUUCCAGGAAAAGUCUCUAAGCUUCAGUUACACAGGAAUCGUACCCGAAACCGACACAGGUGGUCAGGUCGAGUAGACCAAGGCGCUUGAGAGAACUCUGCUGAAGGAACUAGGCAAAAUGGUACCGUAACUUCGGGAGAAGGUACGCUGUUGUUGGUGAUGGAACUCGCUUCCUGAGCUGACGACAGCCGCAGAAACCAGGCCGCUGCAACUGUUUAUUAAAAACAUAGCACUCUGCAAACACGAAAGUGGACGUAUAGGGUGUGAUGCCUGCCCGGUGCUGGAAGGUUAAUUGAUGGGGUUAGCGUAAGCGAAGCUCUUGAUCGAAGCCCCAGUAAACGGCGGCCGUAACUAUAACGGUCCUAAGGUAGCGAAAUUCCUUGUCGGGUAAGUUCCGACCUGCACGAAUGGCAUAAUGAUGGCGGCGCUGUCUCCAGCAGAGGCUCAGUGAAAUCGAAAUCGCUGUGAAGAUGCAGUGUACCCGCGGCUAGACGGAAAGACCCCGUGAACCUUUACUGCAGCUUGACACUGAACUUUGACCUUACUUGUGUAGGAUAGGUGGGAGGCUUUGAAGCUGGAACGCUAGUUCCAGUGGAGCCGUCCUUGAAAUACCACCCUGGUAAUGUUGAGGUUCUAACUCUGUCCCGUGAUCCGGGACGAGGACCGUGUCUGGUGGGUAGUUUGACUGGGGCGGUCUCCUCCUAAAGAGUAACGGAGGAGUACGAAGGUGCGCUCAGCGUGGUCGGAAAUCACGCGUAGAGUAUAAAGGCAAAAGCGCGCUUAACUGCGAGACCCACAAGUCGAGCAGGUACGAAAGUAGGUCUUAGUGAUCCGGUGGUUCUGUAUGGAAGGGCCAUCGCUCAACGGAUAAAAGGUACUCUGGGGAUAACAGGCUGAUACCGCCCAAGAGUUCAUAUCGACGGCGGUGUUUGGCACCUCGAUGUCGGCUCAUCUCAUCCUGGGGCUGAAGCAGGUCCCAAGGGUAUGGCUGUUCGCCAUUUAAAGAGGUACGCGAGCUGGGUUUAGAACGUCGUGAGACAGUUCGGUCCCUAUCUACCGUGGGCGCUGGAAAUUUGAGAGGAUCUGCUCCUAGUACGAGAGGACCAGAGUGGACGAACCUCUGGUGUACCGGUUGUGACGCCAGUCGCAUCGCCGGGUAGCUAUGUUCGGAAGGGAUAACCGCUGAAAGCAUCUAAGCGGGAAGCCUACCUCAAGAUAAGAUUUCCCUAGGACUUUAUGUCCUCUAAAGAGCCGUUCGAGACUAGGACGUUGAUAGGUUGGAUGUGGAAGCAUAGUGAUAUGUGAAGCUGACCAAUACUAAUUGCUCGUGAGGCUUGACUAU